rnacentral:rRNA from 1 species
GACGAACGCUGGCGGCGUGCUUAACACAUGCAAGUCGAACGAUGAAGCCCUUUUGGGGUGGAUUAGUGGCGAACGGGUGAGUAACACGUGGGUAACCUGCCUUGUACUCUGGGAUAAGCCUUGGAAACGAGGUCUAAUACCGGAUAUGACCUGCUCUCGCAUGGGGGUGGGUGGAAAGUUCUGGCGGUGCAGGAUGGACCCGCGGCCUAUCAGCUUGUUGGUGGGGUGAUGGCCUACCAAGGCGA